rnacentral:lncRNA from 1 species
CAAGAGAGAGGUUCGUCCAGAGAAAAAUAUAUUACCAAAACCAAAUUUAAUCAACUUCAUUGUUAUUCUCAGCUACCAGCAAACAGAUGUAGAGACCAGCACAACGGCACUUAGAAAUGUCUGGAAGGAGUGAGACGAUGAGGGUCAUCAAUGACUCAGUUACUGAGCCAUUCCCUGGGAAUAACAUCUGGACUAAACAUAAUCUUUAUCAUCAAGGACCUCUCAUUAUUCAGUGGAGUAAAGACACGGGGAAAUGGGGAAUUUUCAUGCAGUCGUUAGAGGUAAGAGCUGAAAAUGUUAGGUAUAUGGUGCUAUGGGAGUCCUUGUUGGUGGGUCAAGAAAACACU